GUGGCCUAGUGGUUAGAGCGUCCGCCUCGGAUGCGGGAGGUCGUGGGUUCGAUCCAAAGACUUACA